rnacentral:ncRNA from 1 species
AGCUCAUCGAGAGGGACUGAGGGAACGGCCCGUUGAAGUCCCGGCAACCGCCGCGAACCCCCCGUCGAACCUGACGGUCGCGGAAACGGUGCUAAUUCCGGCCUGAGGCGAGAUACGCCACGGGGAAGAUGAGAA